GGCUCGGUAGUGGAUGGUCCACAUCUGCUUUCCAUAUGAUCUUUGUAUGUGUGAAAAUGGGUAAUGCAGAUAAAGCCUGUUCGACUCAGGCCCGAGCCA